CUCGAGGUAAAGAGUCAUGGAGGUAGAGCACUGUUUGGACUAGGGGCCCUUCUCGGGUUACCGAAUUCAGAUAAACUCCGAAUGCCAUGUACUUAUACUCGGGAGUCAGACUGCGAGUGAUAAGAUCCGUAGUCGAAAGGGAAACAGCCCAGACCACCAGUUAAGGUCCCCAAAUAUAUGUUAAGUGGAAAAGGAUGUGGGGUUGCUUAGACAACCAGGAUGUUGGCUUAGAAGCAGCCACCAUUGAAAGAGUGCGUAAUAGCUCACUGGUCGAGUGACCCCGCGCCGAAAAUGUACCGGGGCUAAACAUAUUACC
rnacentral:rRNA from 1 species